rnacentral:rRNA from 1 species
UACAGAGGGGGCAAGCGUUGUUCGGAAUUACUGGGCGUAAAGGGCGCGUAGGCGGCCUGUUAAGUCGGACGUGAAAUCCCUCGGCUCAACCGGGGAACUGCGUCCGAUACUGGCGGGCUUGAAUUCGGGAGAGGGAUGUGGAAUUCCAGGUGUAGCGGUGAAAUGCGUAGAUAUCUGGAGGAACACCGGUGGCGAAGGCGGCAUCCUGGACCGACAUUGAUGCUGAGGCGCGAAAGCGUGGGGAGCGAACAGG